UAGAGUUUUUUGGUAGCAUACAGUGACAUUUCCUGCUGUAACUUUCAUGUCUCACAAGCUCUGUUUACCAGAAACUCCAGUUUUAUCUGAUGGGACAUAGCACAGCAAUACAAUAUGAGCAAAGCUAACCAAGCGAAAAGCACAAGUAGACAAUUCUAGAAAUAAAAGGUGAUUUUAACGCGCUAUACUAGGAUUUUCAUAUAGAAAAAAGUCAAGAUUAGUAUUUUUUUUCCUAUGGUUGAUUAAGACCUGUCAGAAUCGCUAAAAUAAUUUGUUAAAAGUUUGAAAAUUGUACAUUGUUAAAUUGUAAUUGUAGUUCCUUUAUUUUUAAUGACCCUGACUUAUAGGUUAGAGGUUCUAAAACGCUCCUAAAAAUAGGCCUAAAUUACCACUGGUGUCUUCUUUUGUACAGUAGCUCUCAUUUCUUAUCUGAGGACAACACAACAACAUUCCCUGGAUCUUGCUGCAAUGUUUUUUUGAGAGAGUGUAGUGAAGAAUUUGAGGUCAAAUGUUCACUGAUGUCCUGCGCUUGUCUCUCCGACAAGCGCUUGCACAUGAGCUGAAACACACACACACACACACGAAAGCAGACAGGUCAAGCAUACAACGCUGGAGUUGGUUACAUAAACCAGAUGGCUGUGGCUGGCAUGAAGAAGCUGACAUCUAAGAGUUGUGUGAGUGUGUGUGUGUUUGUGUGUGUGAUUGUGUGUGGAUGUACCUACAGUAUCCUUCAGUAUAACACAUGAGGGACUCUGUUUGUUUUCUUUGCACCACAGGGGAAAUGCUGUCAGCUUUACAAGUGUAUUGAUUCCCACCACACACACACCGAAACAAAAGGGCCAGAGAAACAAGGGCUGUCCAAGUCUGUGAUGAUCUGGGUGCAGGCUGGUGUGUAUGUGGGUCUCUCCUGCUUCUUCCUUGCAGGGUGUGACUCGCAGGUGUCCGCAGCUGCAGCACAUCAGGACUAAAGGAGGAAACGCACCAGAUGUGUUCCAGCGUAUCCUGGAGCUCUUCUCAACUUGUCCUCUGGGCAACUUCUAGUCAUUUCCUGAAUUCCCACCAAGCAACUGAACUCACCUGAAUGAAUAAUAUCGAUACAACACCUGAAAGACUCACCUGCAUCUGCUGCCCAACUCCUCAAUUAAUCUAAAGGAGUGGUCUGUUUGCAAAAGAGAAAAUACAGAAACCAAUAAAUACUUACCAGUCCGACCAAAGUGAUUACACCGUAGGAACUUGCAAUUCUUUAUUUCUUCUUGUCUUGUAUAAUUUCAAUUCUUUUAGUAGUAUAAUGUGAGACAUCACCAUGGAAAAGGACAAAUUUAAUAGUUAAUGCCCAUUAUAGGUGUGUUUAACAUCAGGCUAGGAUUGCAUGUUUUAGGUUUUCCAUAACAUUUACAGUCAUAUUAAAUAAAAUAGAAUAUGGGUUCCAAUGAGGCUGGUUUGUCAGAUUGUUGUCAGAAGUACCUUUUGAAAAUAACCUUUAAGCAAGUCUAAACAUAUUUUUCAUGAAGCCCAUUUUUCUGUUUUAAAAUGUUUUAUUUUUAUCAAUCUGGUGUAAAAUUCUGAUCCUAAAUGUCAUGUUUUCAUUAGCUGUAAGUGGAAAGUUGUCACCAACAUAAAUAAAGGCUUGAAAUCAUAAAUCUGUGUGAAAUUGAUCUAUUUAAUGUGUUUCACUUAGUGAGUUACUCAAAUAAAUUAAAGGCAGCAAGGUUUUUGUUCCACUAAUGUAGGUA